AUACGUAGGGGGCAAGCGUUAUCCGGAAUUACUGGGCGUAAAGAGUGCGUAGGUGGCUGCUUAAGCGCGGGGUCUAAGAUAACGGCCUAACCGUUGUCCGCCCCGCGAACUGGGCAGCUUGAGUACAGGAGAGGAAGGCGGAAUUCCUAGUGUAGCGGUGAAAUGCGUAGAUAUUAGGAGGAACACCGGUGGCGAAGGCGGCCUUCUGGACUGUCACUGACACUGAGGCACGAAAGCGUGGGUAGCAAACAGGAUUAGAUACCCUGGUAGUCCACGCCGUAAACGAUGAGCACUAGGUGUCGGGUUCGUGAGGACUCGGUGCCGCAGCUAACGCAUUAAGUGCUCCGCCUGGGGAGUACGCACGCAAGUGUGAA
rnacentral:rRNA from 1 species